UUGAACGUUAGGCUGCUAGCUUCCUGUUCGGGUCUGGAUCUGUUAGAUUUAAUUAAGAGUGAUUUCAUAAUACAAAUGGGCUACCUUUGAAUGGACCUACGUCGGAUUUUAUUACGUUACCCUCACAGCUCACCUGCUGGUCGGUUUCUGUAGCAAAUUCGCGGGCCACCGCCAUCUCCCAGUCCUCAAGUACCCGAUGUAACAGAACCCAACACCGGCCUCGAGUGGUUUGAAAUGACCGCGUCAACUGGUCCGUCCAGUUGUGAUCGCAGAGUCCCCAGUUCACCAUUGGCGUUAGCUUCAGCUAACAUCCAGAGCUCCCCCCUCUGCAACUUUGCAGUCCCAUCCACCCCAGCACAGGACACAUAGAAGUUUUCCCUUGGUCUGAAUGAUGAGUUCUGCAGACCAGCCAACAACAGUACAGUAUCACCAAUGGAUAAGAGCCUAACGUCAGGGUGACAGUGUGGAUUUCAUAAAUGAGCACAGUCUUUCAGGUUGUAUACUGCGCAGUGCACACACAGCCUGGAAGCUGUAAGUCGCCUUACAGUUAUCUUUUGUUAAUUUGCUUAUAAUGUGUUUUCCUUAAAUAUAUGCUAAUGUGUUCACAUUUAUUUCUUUAAAAUAUUUGUAAAUAACUUUGUAACACUGUUUCUUUUACUUGUCUUCGUUAUUAUUAUUUUACACAGUGAGGUACUUCUUAUUAAGA